CUGGUUGUGGGCUGGUUGUGGUAGGGCUGGUUGUGGUAGGGCUGGUUGUAUUAGGGCUGGUUGUAGUAGGGCUGGUUGUAUUAGGGCUGGUUGUGGUAGGGCUGGUUGUGGUAGGGCUGGUUGUAUUAGGGCUGGUUGUGGUAGGGCUGGUUGUGGUAGGGCUGGUUGUAGUAGGGCUGGUUGUAUUAGGCAAUGCAGGUGUAGCCCAAAUUGAAGCCUUAGAAUGAAUGAAUUGCGGGAAUCAACGCAGUUGAUUAUGAUUCUAAUAUGAUUCAAUUCAAUAAUAUGAUUCAGUUGAUUCAAUUGAAUGAUUCAAUUGCACAUUAGAUGAAUCAUUCUCAGGAUGGAUGAGCCUAGUAUGUUGCUUACUGCAUUCGUUUGUACUAAACAGUAUGUGUGUAGUACGAUUAGUACACAGAAUGUAGUUUUAUUAAGUAGUAGGCAAGACAGAUUUCGGACACAGCCAUUGUCACAAAUUACAAUUAUGUAAAAGUGUGAUGUUUUGCACAUACAGUAUCAAUACAAUUUCAAGACAGAAACAAAUGUUUCCUUACAAAGCAAUGGAGUUUAGGUAAUUCAUAAACAAUGUCAUAUUACAUGUGGUGAUAUCUCACAUUGGAAACAUUUAAAACUAACCUAUCCUGCUAAACCAGAUAAAGAACUGUGUGUUACAAUGUUCA